rnacentral:misc_RNA from 1 species
GAGAGCCAAGAGAUCCGUUGUUGAAAGUUUUUAUUUGUUAUAAAAAUUUUACAUUCAUAGACUAGUGUUUAUAAGUGAAGGCUCACAAUCCGAAGACUGCUCGCCAUAAUACAGAUGCACAAAGUUAGAAUUGAGAAGUUCGGGUUCCAAGUUAAAUUGGACACCCUUGUUUUCAAUAAUGAUCCUU